rnacentral:tRNA from 1 species
GGGGUUGUGGCUCAGUGGUAGAGUGCUUGCCUAGCACAUGCAAGGCCCUGGGUUCAAUCCUCAGCACCUUCU